GUGGGGAAUAUUGCGCAAUGGGCGAAAGCCUGACGCAGCAACGCCGCGUGAGUGAUGAAGGCCUUCGGGUCGUAAAGCUCUGUCGCAGGGAACGAAAACCAUUGUCCAAAUAAGCCAAUGGUAUGACGGUACUCUGCAAGAAAGCCCCGGCCAACUCCGUGCCAGCAGCCGCGGUAAGACGGAGGGGGCGAGCGUUGUUCGGAAUUACUGGGCGUAAAGGGCGCGUAGGCGGUCAUGCAAGUCGGGGGUGAAAUCCCAUGGCUUAACCAUGGAAUGGCCUUCGAAACUGCAUGACUUGAGUACGGAAGAGGAGAGCGGAAUUCCCAGUGUAGCGGUGAAAUGCGUAGAUAUUGGGAGGAACACCAGUGGCGAAGGCGGCUCUCUGGUCCGAAACUGACGCUGAGGCGCGAAAGCCAGGGGAGCAAACGGGAUUAGAAACCCGAGUAGUCC
rnacentral:rRNA from 1 species